AUUGAACGCUGGCGGCAUGCCUUACACAUGCAAGUCGAACGGUAACGGACUUUCAGGUGCCUAUGAGUGGCGGACGGUUGCGUAAUACAUCGGAACACACCCGAAUCUGCUUUUUCAUGAGGCGAAACCUUUGCUAAUACCCCCUACUACCUCCUGCUGCCAGCGGGGGACCGCAAGGCCUUUUCCGGCCUUGGCCGCUGAUGUCGGAUUAGGUAGUUGGUGGGAUAAAAGCUUACCAAGCCGACGAUCCGUAGCUGGUCUGAGAGGAUGAUCAGCCACACUGGGACUGAGACACGGCCCAGACUCCUACGGGAGGCAGCAGUGGGGAAUAUUGGACAAUGGGCGCAAGCCUGAUCCAGCCAUGCCGCGUGGAGGAAGAAGGCCUUCGGGUUGUAAAGUGCUUUUGUAGGGAAAGAAAAGCAUUAGGUUAAUACAGGGGGGUCAUGACGGUACCGAAAGAAUAAGCACCGGCUAACUACGUG
rnacentral:rRNA from 1 species